rnacentral:rRNA from 1 species
GAUGAACGCUGGCGGCGUGCCUAAUACAUGCAAGUCGAGCGAACAGACGAGGAGCUUGCUCCUCUGACGUUAGCGGCGGACGGGUGAGUAACACGUGUAUACCCUACCUAUAAUUCUGGUAUCACUUCGGGAAACCGGCUCAAAUACCGGAUAAUAUAUUGAACCGCAGGGUUCAAUAGUGAAAGACGGUUUUUUCGGCGGUUGUAGAUGGAUUCGCGCCGUAUCAGCUAGUUGGUGGGGUAGUGGCUUACCAAGGCGAUGAUGGGUAGCCGGCCUGAGAGGGUGACCGGCCACAUUGGGACUGAGAUACGGCCCAGACUCCUACGGGAGGCAGCAGUGGGGAAUAUUGCACAAUGGGCGGAAGCCUGAUGCAGCAACGCCGCGUGCGGGAUGACGGCCUUCGGGUUGUAAACCGCUUUCGCCUGUGACGAAGCGUGAGUGACGGUAAUGGGUAAAGAAGCACCGGCUAACUACGUG